GAGUUUGAUCCUGGCUCAGAUUGAACGCUGGCGGCAUGCCUUACACAUGCAAGUCGAACGGCAGCACGGGAGCUUGCUCCUGGUGGCGAGUGGCGAACGGGUGAGUAAUGCAUCGGAACGUAUCCUGGAGUGGGGGAUAACGUAGCGAAAGUUACGCUAAUACCGCAUAUUCUGUGAGCAGGAAAGCGGGGGACCUUCGGGCCUCGCGCUCUUGGAGCGGCCGAUGUCGGAUUAGCUAGUUGGUGAGGUAAAGGCUCACCAAGGCGACGAUCCGUAGCAGGUCUGAGAGGAUGAUCUGCCACACUGGAACUGAGACACGGUCCAGACUCCUACGGGAGGCAGCAGUGGGGAAUUUUGGACAAUGGGGGCAACCCUGAUCCAGCCAUGCCGCGUGAGUGAAGAA
rnacentral:rRNA from 5 species